GGAAAGAGAGGGAUUCGAC
rnacentral:tRNA from 16 species